rnacentral:rRNA from 1 species
UACGUAGGAGGCAAGCGUUAUCCGGAAUGACUGGGCGUAAAGGGUGCGUAGGUGGUUUGGCAAGUUGGCGGCGUAACUCCGAGGCUCAACCUCGGAACUACCGCCAAAACUGUUGAACUUGAGUGCAGGAGGGGCAAUCGGAAUUCCUAGUGUAGCGGUGGAAUGCGUAGAUAUUAGGAGGAACACCAGUGGCGAAGGCGGAUUGCUGGACUGUAACUGACACUGAGGCACGAAAGCGUGGGGAGCAAACAGG